GAGCUUGCUCUGCUGGAUCAGUGGCGAACGGGUGAGUAACACGUGAGCAACCUGCCCCGGACUCUGGGAUAAGCGCUGGAAACGGCGUCUAAUACUGGAUACGAGCUGCGAAGGCAUCUUCAGCAGCUGGAAAGAAUUUCGGUCCGGGAUGGGCUCGCGGCCUAUCAGCUAGUUGGUGAGGUAACGGCUCACCAAGGCGUCGACGGGUAGCCGGCCUGAGAGGGUGACCGGCCACACUGGGACUGAGACACGGCCCAGACUCCUACGGGAGGCAGCAGUGGGGAAUAUUGCACAAUGGGCGAAAGCCUGAUGCAGCAACGCCGCGUGAGGGACGACGGCCUUCGGGUUGUAAACCUCUUUUAGCAGGGAAGAAGCGAAAGUGACGGUACCUGCAGAAAAAGCGCCGGCUAACUACGUGCCAGCAGCCGCGGUAAUACGUAGGGCGCAAGCGUUAUCCGGAAUUAUUGGGCGUAAAGAGCUCGUAGGCGGUCUGUCGCGUCUGCUGUGAAAACCCGAGGCUCAACCUCGGGCCUGCAGUGGGUACGGGCAGACUAGAGUGCGGUAGGGGAGAUUGGAAUUCCUGGUGUAGCGGUGGAAUGCGCAGAUAUCAGGAGGAACACCGAUGGCGAAGGCAGAUCUCUGGGCCGUAACUGACGCUGAGGAGCGAAAGGGUGGGGAGCAAACAGGCUUAGAUACCCUGGUAGUCCACCCCGUAAACGUUGGGAACUAGUUGUGGGGUCCUUUCCACGGAUUCCGUGACGCAGCUAACGCAUUAAGUUCCCCGCCUGGGGAGUACGGCCGCAAGGCUAAAACUCAAAGGAAUU
rnacentral:rRNA from 1 species